rnacentral:rRNA from 1 species
CAGGUAGGAUUACCCGCUGAACUUA